CAAAGAAUAGUUUAAUGCAGAAUCCUAGCUUUGGGAGCUAGGGGUGGGGGUUAAACCCCCUCUUCUUUGA
rnacentral:tRNA from 1 species